rnacentral:lncRNA from 1 species
CCCAGGCCGGCGGGACCCGCGGGCGGCCGCCCCCAGCGGCGAGAGGGGCGCACCUGCGGGGCCGGCGGCGUUCCCCUCCCCUGCCGGGGGCACUUGAAGGCAAAGAGCUUAAAAUGUUCCCUUCCCCAGCGCCACAGGUAUAGUGGCAAACACCGCGGAGAGAGAAGCGGGGGAGACUGACUUGGCACUGCCGGUGCAGAGAGGAGAUCAGUGCGCGACUGAUUAUCGUAGUUGUCUUGUUCUUGACAUAUUAGGACACAUGAGAGAGAAGGCCUAGGAGCAGCAGCAGCAGCAGUGAUUGAUGAAGUGACAUGGAGAUGAUCACCCAGCAGUGGAAGGAGUUGUGUCUACGAUUUCAAACUGAGGGACACAUCUUCCUCAGCUGUCUGGAGCCCAUCUAUCAUCACCUGAGCCUGACACCACUGGCACCCCGUACAAGUCUUGGUGCCACCCCUGGAGGAUGUGAUGUCUGACAUACGAGCAAUGUCUUCUAUAAAUUCUCCUGGGAGGAAAGUCCCUUACCAUCCUGCCAGCAAAUGCACCUGAAUUUGCAUGGCACAAAUACAUCCCAUGGACCCCAUUGCUUGGAGCUGACUCCCACAUCACAUUCACCUGUGUGAAUCAUGGGUUCCUGUCCCUCAGGGUGAAGGUGCAGCUGGGGAAGGUGCAGGACAUCUAUCUGCACUUUCUAUUGAAAAACAUACACCUGUAUUUUUCUUCCUUGUCUAACUUCCAUUCCCAUUUUCAAAAAUGCUGUUAGUUACAGUUUAAGGGAAUAAAUGAAAUUAAAAGUUUGGAUAGAAGGGAUUG